rnacentral:rRNA from 1 species
UACGUAGGGAGCUAGCGUUGUCCGGAAUCAUUGGGCGUAAAGCGCGUGUAGGCGGUCCGGUAAGUCCGCUGUGAAAGUCGGGGGCUCAACCCUCGGAUGCCGGUGGAUACUGUCGGGCUUGAGUACGGAAGAGGCGAGUGGAAUUCCCGGUGUAGUGGUGAAAUGCGUAGAGAUCGGGAGGAACACCCGUGGCGAAGGCGGCCACCUGGGCCGACCCUGACGCUGAGGCGCGAAGGCGUGGGGAGCGAACGGG